AGCGAACGCUGGCGGCAGGCCUAACACAUGCAAGUCGAACGAAACCUUCGGGUUUAGUGGCGGACGGGUGAGUAACACGUGGGAACGUGCCCUUUGGUUCGGAACAACUCAGGGAAACUUGAGCUAAUACCGGAUGUGCCCUUCGGGGGAAAGAUUUAUCGCCAUUGGAGCGGCCCGCGUAGGAUUAGCUAGUUGGUGGGGUAAUGGCCCACCAAGGCUCCGAUCCUUAGCUGGUCUGAGAGGAUGAUCAGCCACACUGGGACUGAGACACGGCCCAGACUCCUACGGGAGGCAGCAGUGGGGAAUCUUGCGCAAUGGGCGAAAGCCUGACGCAGCCAUGCCGCGUGAAUGAUGAAGGUCUUAGGAUUGUAAAAUUCUUUCACCGGGGACGAUAAUGACGGUACCCGGAGAAGAAGCCCCGGCUAACUUCGUGCCAGCCGCCGCCGUAAAAC
rnacentral:rRNA from 1 species